rfam:Loxodonta africana unplaced genomic scaffold scaffold_30, whole genome shotgun sequence.
GUGCUGCUGGUGUAGUGGUAUCAUGCAAGAUUCCCAUUCUUGCGAUCCGGGUUCGAUUCCCGGGGGGGCACA